GGAUUGGGAUAUUCCGACUCCUUAAGGGCCUGGCGCACAUAAGGGCCACAUCUGCCAGAGCCUGGAGUCUGCGAAGGCCGGGACCCGGUUCCCCGGCCCACAGUGGGGGUGUGCAAACCCGAGAGAACUGGGUUGCAAAUUCGUGAAGAAUCAGCAUCAUGUUUGGCAGCUGAGUAUUGGAGCCAGGAGCCUGCCAUGAGGUUUUGAGAACAGAGUGCUGUUUUAGAGCUGGCAGCAGCAUCUCAGCCCAAGAGAAGGCAUGACUCCACAGUUUCUGCAACAACAGAGCCGGGGAAAGGAGGACGCAGCAAGCGCUGAAUAUUAACCAGCAAAGGUAGAUGCUUCAAUAUCGAAACCACCGGGACCCGCAUGUGCAAAGCUACUUAAUGAGGGUGUAAUCAAACACAGUCUACCAGAAGGAAAUUAAUUAGAGUCCGGAGAGCAAGCAGGAAGCAGAACCAGGCUGCUCCCCCUCCUGGCUCUAGAACAUCACUGGCAGCCACUGCUAAGGGAGGGACAAGGCUGGGGGAUGCCAGGCCUCAGCUGGGUGCCAGGGCUCCUGUCCUCUUCCCCGUGACAUUCCGGCUUGCCUUUGGGGGACACC
rnacentral:lncRNA from 1 species